rnacentral:rRNA from 1 species
GAUUAACGCUGGCGGCGUGCAUAACACAUGCAAGUCGAACGAUGAAACUUAAAUGAUUUCUUCGGAAUGAACUUAAGUGGAUUAGUGGCGGACGGGUGAGUAACGCGUGAGUAACCUGCCUUACACAAGGGGAUAGCCGUUGGAAACGACGAAUAAUACCCUAUGAAACUAUCACUUCGCAUGAAGCGAUAGUCAAAGUGUUAGCGGUGUAAGAUGGACUUGCGUCUGAUUAGCUAGUUGGUGAGAAAAAAGCCCACCAAGGCAACGAUCAGUAGCCGGCUUGAGAGAGUGUACGGCCACAUUGGGACUGAGACACGGCCCAGACUCCUACGGGAGGCAGCAGUGGGGAAUUUUGCACAAUGGGGGAAACCCUGAUGCAGCGACGCCGCGUGAUUUAGAAGGCCUUCGGGUUGUAAAAAUCUUUUGUAUAGGAAGAAAAUGACAGUACUAUACGAAUAAGGGUCGGCUAAUUACGUG